UAUCCCAACAAGGUGGCUACUGACUCUUCACAGGGAACUCCUGGCCAGAUUUGCCCACCCCAAGCACAUGGGGAAUAGUGAUAGAAGUUUGUGCAGCUGUGUUUCCAGGUGAGCUAGAUGGCAUGGGGAAGUCAGGCUGGAGUUUGUGGCUUGGUUUAACUAACUCCUUGGACUCUGUAUUGCCCCAUAUAGGUAUAGUGGUUGUUGGGGAGAGGAUGAGGUAACCCCAGUAAAAUCCCUUAGAGAUACGGCGUCUGGACACAUGACCCUUCUCUUCCUCUCCUUGCCUUUCCCCAGUUCCGCCAUGGAAGUUCCUCUCAAAAACCCUCUUUCUGGUUUACUCACCUCACUAAAAUAUGCACUUGCCCAUAAUAGAAAAGUUCUGAUGACUCCUCAAUGCCUGUAUUUACCAAACUCCAUGAAUAGCAGGAGGAUCGGGAAGCAGGGAGCUUCCAGGAGUUGAAAGUAAGGUUAAGUCAUCUUCAUUCUCCCCCCAAUAUGACCUGAAGCUGUUUGCCUCAAGAGAGGCACAAUCAAGCCCACCUCACCAUAGCAGGUUUUAGGUUUUUUAAUAGAUCAUACAGUUUAUUCUGGCAAAUACCUGCAAGUCACCAAUGAUCCAGUUUCAACCAGCUGUCUUGUUUGAUCUUCAUGUUUUUAUUGCUUUCUGUGUUUAAAUUAGCUAGUUAUACAUUUCAGAUGAUUCAUAUUAUCAAAAUGUUUAUUUCUGGCCCACUUGAGAAAAGUCAUAAACAGUAAACUAACAAUUAGGGCCCAACAAGGUUCCUUCAAGGAUACAAGCAGCUGUGUCUGAGGAAGGGCUCAGCCCAUUAUAGACUCAGAGUGCUCUCUCAAGUUGGCUGAGCCCGCAGCUUGUCUUCUUCACUCUAAUAAAUAAAAUGCCCAGUUGUCCCCUGGAAUCAUUUGUGUGUAGCUUUGAGGUGAGGCCCAGGGAAAACUGCUUAGCCUGCCUUUUGGCUUACUUUGACUCCAUUAUUUAUUUAUUUAUUUUAUAUUCAUCAUACCAAUAGGUACUACAGGUAGGCUUUCUGCCAGGUAGUCUUCUAGGCACAGGCACUUAUGAUGUGGUAAUGAUCAAAAGAAACAAAAUAAUCCUACCCUCAUGGAACUUUUAUUUUCAUUUGCCAGACAGUAGCCAAGAUACAGUGACUAAAUAUAAAGCAAUUUCAACGUGGUAAGUGUUAAGAAGGAAAAAAAGGAAAGCAAGAAUGGGGAAUGGAAAUUCCAGACAGGAGUGUGAAAUUGAUUAGAUAGGGAGGCCAGGAGAGCCUCACUGAGAACAUGGCUUCUGAGUAAAGACCUAAAGGCAAUGAGAGGACUGACCCUGUGCAUGUCUGGGGAAGGAGCAUUCCAGGUAGGGGGUUGCGAGUGCUGAGCUGAGCUCCCAAGACACUUGUGACCUGCCAUGUUCCAGAAACACUGAGGAUACUAGCAUGGCUGAAGCUGAGCUAGCGAGGUAGAGAAUAUCAAGAAGUGAGUUCAGGGAGGUGGUGGGGAUCCAAGAGAAGCAGAUAGCUUGGAGCCUUGGAGGUGAUGGAAUGAAUUUGGCUUUUACACUGAGUGUGACGGGGAGCCAAUCAAAUAUUUUCAGCAGUGGCAUGGCAUGCUUUUCCUUAUAUUUUAACAGUAUCACUGACAAUUCGAUAACUCUGGAAAGUAAUUUUUAUGGAGUAUAAGGAGUAAGGUCAAAUAUGUCAGUGAAUCAGAGCAGGGACCUAGAAACAGAUUUGUAAGUAGAAAACGAAUUAUAAAGUGACAUUUUAGAUGAAUGAAAAAAAGUGUUUAAUUCAAUAAGUGGUGCUGGAUUAAUCUGUUUGUGUGUUUUUUCCCUUUGGCAAAAAUAAACUUAAGCCACUUUAUCACACUUUACACACAAAAUAAAUUGCAAGUGGAAAAUAGUUAAUACCUAGAUUUGGAAAGUAACAUUUAUAAAAUUUCUAGAAUAAAAUGAAAGAGAAUGUUUAUAUUAUUUACUUGUGAAAAUAGGGAAGAUUUUGUUUAAAGGCAAAAAAUGCACAGGUAUUGAGGGAAAAGUUUGAUAUGUUUGAUUAAAAUAUGCAAACCCCUAAUUUCAAAAUCAUCAUAUACAUGGUGGAGUAAAAUGCGAUUAGGCUACAAAUUACAAUAUUUAAAAUGACAAAAUAAAUAAAAAAUAUGUUCAAUGAGAAAAAACAAACAGUCCAUAGAAAACUUGGGUAAAAACAUGAACAGGCAAUUCACAAUAGACCACAUGGUCAAUAAACAUACAUUACCUUAAUAUGCUCCCUGUUACCUUAUUGUAUCUUCAUAACAUAUGUAAUCUUGUAUCAUACCACAUAAUUUCCUUAGUUAAUAUGUUUAUUGUUUUCCUACAAGAAUGUAAUCCUUGUAAGUGCAUGUUUUUUCUUCUUUCACACUCACCAAUGUAUCCCAAGUCCUUAGAAGAAUAUCUGGCUUAUAAAUAUUUGUUGACUACAUGAAUCUCAUUGGUAAGUAAGAAAAUAAAUUAAAUAAAAUGAUUUCACACACAUCAGAGCAGCAAUACAUGUGAAGUUUGAAAAUAUGUAUUGACUAGUUAAACAAGGGAGAGAGCCUGUACACUGUAGGUCUUACUUUAAGUCAGAGAGAAACUUGCCAUUAUCUUAUGUUUGAAGAUGGCAUAUUACCAGCAAUUUCAUAUUGUUGCAAAGCAAUUCCACAUUUGUCUGAUAUGCUUCUGUACUCUUGAAUGAAAGACACUAACUAUUCUUUCUUUUAAGCUAUCUUUCUAAAGGUGUUUGAAUAGCAAGCAGUUUUGACAGAUAGAGAUAGUAUCUCUCUCUGAAGUAAAGAGCAGGUUUGCUUAGAGCCUGUGGAAGAUAGAAUGAUUUCCUCUGGAGCAAAGGGAAGGAAUGCUCAUUCCAAGAUAAUAAAGAUAAUGUCUCCUUCAAGAACAAAGGGAAGGGGCACUUACUGCCCAUUAUAAAAGUUAGAGCUUCCCAAACUGAGUUUCCCUUUCUGGGAAUGCAACCAACUUUAUAUGUAGGUGUCAUAUGACCAUUUUAUAUCACCCUGUGCUAAGUGUGACUCAGACUUCCUGGGCAUAAGUACUGAUAUUUGGGCUAUUGCUAUUGCUGUGAAUAAUAAACUAUCCUUUGUCUCUGA